rnacentral:rRNA from 1 species
UACGUAGGGUGCGAGCGUUGUCCGGAAUUAUUGGGCGUAAAGAGCUUGUAGGCGGUUUGUCGCGUCUGCCGUGAAAUUUCGGGCUCAACCCCGAACUUGCGGUGGGUACGGCAGACUAGAGUGUGGUAGGGAGACUGGAAUUCCUGGUGUAGCGGUGAAAUGCGCAGAUAUCAGGAGGAACACCGGUGGCGAAGGCGGAUCUCUGGGCCUUACCUGACGCUCAGGUGCGAAAGCUAGGGGAGCGAACAGG